UGAAAUGUCAAGUGUCAACGCGCGAUCUUGUUUGUUGUGUUUGAUUAUGAUUUUUCGAGAUUUCUUCAAUGAUUUCUUGUAAAUUGUAAUAAAUAGAUCUGUCUGUGUGAUCUUUCACAGAGCAUCAAAAAAUAUGCCUAAUUGCAGUGUGUUAGGUUGCGGCAUUAAAAGUGAAAACCGUAUUUCAUUACAUCGAUUUCCUAAUAAUGAAGUAAUGAAAAAGAAAUGGCUAGAGAUUAUUGGUCCGAAUAAUAUAAACCCAAAGCAUAGAAAACCAGCAGUUUGUUCGAUGCAUUUCCAGGAAUCAUGCAUCAACAGAACUCUUGAUGUAACAAGAUUACAUGAUGACGCAUUGCCAUCUUCUUCACUUCUGCCUAAUCGAACCAAUUUAAAAACACAACAAACUCCAAAUCAAUUAAUAGCAAACUACAUUGGACAACAUGUUGAUCCAUUGACAUCUUCUGAGAUAUAAAUAAUAACCCGCAGCAGCAGCGCAACUGCCGCGCAGUGCAAAUUUAAAGGCGCCAUAAACCUUGUUAUUAACUAAGAAUGUAUCCAUUAAGAUUAUCCACGUUGUUGUGAUGAAAGUAUUUAUUAAAAUGGAUAAACAUUUUUAGAUCACUAAAAUAUUGAUAAUCAAAGAGAAAAGCAACACACCAGCAACUCCAUGCUCCCAAGAAAAUCCUACAUCUGCAGAAAAGAUUCAACUAGAAAAUAAAGAAAUAAAAUAUCACAAAAGGUGUAAUUUCCUGAAAAAGCGUGUAAAAAUUUUGCAAGAAAGGGUACGGAGACGAGACAAAAAGAUUGCGCUCUUGACUAAAAUAAUCAAGGAUAUACAGCAAAGAAGUAGAAAAAAAAAUCUUGAAAAGAUCACAUUUCAGUAAAAUGCA